GAAAAUGCCUCCUUUGUUGUUCCGCCAGGUUGUUGCGAAAGGCAAGGGUAAGAAGAAUAGAGCUCGUUUUGAUCCUCUUCAGGUGGAUCCUCUAGCCAUCGUGAUGGAGGAAGAGGAACCUGUUGCAGGUAACGAUCCUCAUAUGCUGGAAUUUGACCCUAGCACUGUUAAUGGUGAAGAUCUUGAGUCCUUAGUGCUUUCGGAUGUGCCAGAUGUCAUUCCUUUGGAUAUGGUCCCGGCUGAGGAACAGAGGUUGUUGAAUGAUGCCCCCCUGAAGUCUUUCGAGUGAAGUGCAACAAGAACAGGAGGAAGUACAGAAGGUGGAAAAUAUGGUUUUUGACAUGGACAUGGAUAGUGUCCCUCGUGGUAGUAAUGGAAGAAAUCAGGGCAACAUGGAAGGCUAGGAAUGCAGCGACCGAAAGUAGUUCUGAUGCUUUUCAGGAACUUGUUGUGACGUCGAUGAAGAAGGCAGACAUAGGUAAAAACAAGAAUAUGGAGAUGAAAGGUUUAUGGGACGCUCAAUCUUCAGCUAGAUUGCAAGCGAAAGGCGUCAUCAAAAAAGGCCCAGGGGAGCGAUCGUUUUUCGUCAACAAGCUAUCGUCAAUGUGGACUCGGAGUCUAGUUCCUCCUCUUAUGAUGAUGAUGUUGCCAAAUAAUUUCUAGUGGACGACGCCCCUCAAUAUGAUCAUGAUCCUAAAGGGCCAGGUUCCUCUUCUUACCCCUUUUCCUUUUAAUGAAUUUUAUAUCGUGGAAUGUAA
rnacentral:lncRNA from 1 species